GACGAACGCUGGCGGCGUGCCUAAUACAUGCAAGUAGAACGCACAGUUUAUACCGUAGCUUGCUACACCAUAGACUGUGAGUUGCGAACGGGUGAGUAACGCGUAGGUAACCUGCCUGGUAGCGGGGGAUAACUAUUGGAAACGAUAGCUAAUACCGCAUAAUAUUAAUUAUUGCAUGAUAAUUAAUUGAAAGGUGCAAUUGCACCACUACCAGAUGGACCUGCGUUGUAUUAGCUAGUAGGUGAGGUAACGGCUUACCUAGGCGACGAUACAUAGCCGACCUGAGAGGGUGAUCGGCCACACUGGGACUGAGACACGGCCCAGACUCCUACGGGAGGCAGCAGUAGGGAAUCUUCGGCAAUGGACGAAAGUCUGACCGAGCAACGCCGCGUGAGUGAAGAAGGUUUUCGGAUCGUAAAGCUCUGUUGUAAGAGAAGAACGGGUGUGAGAGUGGAAAGUUCACACUGUGACGGUAUCUUACCAGAAAGGGACGGCUAACUACGUG
rnacentral:rRNA from 1 species